GGGGGGGAGGGCAGAUGGACACUAUAGUGAUAGGAGUAAAGCUUUGUAUUCCUAAGACUAUAAUGUUACUUUAACAUAUUCUGCAAUGGAAACAUACAAGUAAAUGAAGCCAAUCAAAAUUUGGUAUUGAGGAAACACGGAAAGAUACGAAGGCCGUGCUUGAUCUAGCUUACAGAAUACAGUGAGUCGAUUUAGUUACACAAAAG